UGCUCGCAGUCCCACUGGUACUAUAGUCACAGCCAAGCCACCCAUCCCUCCCUUCUCAUUACAUUGCCAAGACAAGGUCGGAGAUGUGGCAAGUCUCCAGACAAGUGAUAAAACCACAAUCUCUUGUUUUUUUCUUUUUUGGACACAACAACAAAAUCUUGUACUAUAUUUUCUCUUUGCUCAGGGUGUGAACUUGAAUGGUCAACUGAAGGGUUAUGGCGUCCAUUAGUAUGACAUCCUGGGGUUGAAUGUUGGCCUAUAAAAGCCAGACGUGGUGUUUAAAAACAACAUCAACAAACAGAACACAAACCUCUCCAAGCUGUGGCAUUGUCCUGGACGGUGACCGUGGCAUGAGAAAGUCCUGUUGGGGAAUUUGGUCGUGCAAUGCUCUCUGUCGAUUGCUUUAGAGUUGAAAGAAAGCCAGGAUUUCCUAAUGCUGAGAAUGGGGAGCUCUCAACAGAUUGAUCUGCAACAGGGGACAGCCCAUUCUUUAGAACAGGCAGCAGACUAGAAACAUAGAGCUGUGGAGUGGUGUGGGAGAACAGAGAGCCUGAGAAAGCCUCUUCAGCUGUGGUACGAGAGGGAGAGGUACAGACCUGUUGAACAGCCACUGACUGACUACAUCCUGUUUGUCUUCCAAUAGCAGCCCAUCAUGGACCCCUUCUACCUAGACAUCCACAUGGGUGAGUCAGUGUGCUCUGAUUCAAUUCACUAAAUACAUUUUAAGGUCAUUUCCAAUUGAGAGAACUUAUGUAGCUUUUACCAUGAAUGCAGUCUCUGCUAAAGCGGGAACAUUGCCUUUAAAUUUCAAUCACGCUGUUAUGUGGAUUUAAUAGAGCCCUUAGUCUGAGGAGGUUUCUGUCUGUGGUGCUCUCUGUGGUCAUCAUGUGGUUUGUUAUGGUCUAUGACAUAGAAGUAGCAGGAAAUAAUAAUGCCCAAAACUUUGUUUGAUGGGGUUUGUGUUUGUAAGGAUAGGUUCAUGGGUGGUUUGGCUAGAUUGUAGCCUUUUCAUUUGGCAUGAGUUCUAUCAACAUGUGACUGUAACUUCUAUCUGUAUCUGCCCAUCACAAUGUAUUAAAACAGAGUUUUCAAACACUGCAAUAAUCAGUAAUGCAUGGAUAACCUGCAUAGCCUCAAAACAGACAAGAUUGCUGGUUUCUGGUACUAAGACGUGAAUAUACUUUAUGUAUAUACUGUACUGUUGGUAAAUGGCGAGCCCAGAUGUGCCAAAUGCCUGUGAAAUACUGUAGGCCUAUUUACUUAGGAGCUAGAUUUAUAAACCCACUGUGGUAUUAUAUGGCUUUAUGAUUUCAAUAAACUAAC
ensembl:lncRNA